CCUACGGGAGGCAGCAGUGAGGAAUAUUGGUCAAUGGACGAGAGUCUGAACCAGCCAAGUAGCGUGAAGGAUGACUGCCCUAUGGGUUGUAAACUUCUUUUAUAAAGGAAUAAAACGAGGCACGUGUGCCUUUUUGCAUGUACUUUAUGAAUAAGGAUCGGCUAACUCCGUGCCAGCAGCCGCGGUAAUACGGAGGGUCCGAGCGUUAUCCGGAUUUAUUGGGUUUAAAGGGAGCGUAGAUGGGUUGUUAAGUCAGUUGUGAAAGUUUGCGGCUCAACCGUAAAAUUGCAAUUGCUACUGGCAGUCGUGAGUACAGUUGAGGUAAGCGGAAUUCGUGGUGUAGCGGUGAAAUGCUUAGAUAUCACGAAGAACCCCGAUUGCGAAGGCAGCUUACUAAACUGUGACUGACAUUGAUGCUCGAAAGUGUGGGUAUCAAACAGGAUUAGAUACCCGAGUAGUC
rnacentral:rRNA from 1 species